GAUAGGCAAACGUGCUACUAGAAAAUUACUUAAGUCCCGCCUUCAUCCUUCUAUCCAAAUUCUUUCAUUAUGUAUUUAUAAUGAUAGACAAAUUACCGCUGUAGUAUGUAUUUAGGACCUUUAUUACUCAUAGAUCUUUUGAACUUUACUGUUAAAAUAAUGAUCACCACAACCUUCUCCCACAGACACUCGGUAAACUCUGAACUUGUACCCAGCUACUGACAAGUCGAACAAGCUUAGAUUUCUGUAAAAUACAUCUGGUAUUUUAUUAUCAACCAGCUCCUUGUGUUGUAAAUAUACUUGCAGAAACUACUUCUCUGAAGGAUAUACCUACCUACCUACAUACAUAUAUAUAUAUGUAGAUAAAGGAGUGUGUUAAAGAAUCACGUAAACUAAUAAUACAAAUUUAGCAUUUAACACAUAAACUUCGGAAGGAAUGAGGUGAGUCCAAUAUUUCAUUUAUCUUCAAAUUAAUAUUCAUUUAAUCUAUUUGACGCUGUCUCACUAUUUAUCCAUCGAACUGGAUCCUUUUAUUUAUCUUUUUCUUUUUGUGUAUAUGUGCAUGUGUCCACAUACUUGCUUGUGCGUAUAUAUAUAUUUGUGUGCGAGUGUAUAUGUAUUUAUGUGCAUGUGUAUAGGUGUUAUGUAUAUCUAUAUAAAAACAUGCAUACAUAUAAACAUGUACACUCACAUUUAUGCAUGUGUGUGUGUGUGUGUAUACAUACAUAUAUACUAGAAUGCAUACACUCAUAUAUGCAUAAUGCAUAUAUGUGUGUAUGCGUGUAAGGUCAUGUACUUCAGUGAACAUAAACGCAUUUUGAUAAAUACAUAAUACUAUAUACAAAUAUAUAUAGAUAAUAUAAAUAUAUUAUAUAUAUAUAUAUAUAUAUAUAUAUAUAUAUAUAUAUACAUAAACACACACACACACACACACACACACACACACACACACACACAUAUAUAUAUUUUUUUUUCUAGUUUCAGCUCAGAGCUGCGGCCAUGCUGAUGCACCGCCGUUAUAUAUAUAUAUAUAUAUAUAUAUAUAUAUAUAUAUAUAUAUAUAUAUUAUUCUACAUGCAGUAACCAUAUAACUGAGACUCGGUUGCUCUUUUCUUUGUUUUCUUUACUUCACUUCUUUUCUUUUUUAUUUAUUUAUACUUUUUAUAUUAUCUCCUCAUCUCUCCUUUCCGUAGAUGAGCGUAUGCUCGAAACGUUAUAGACUCAUUCCAAUUUUCCUAAUAUAUCCUGUUUAUUUGUUUGUUUUUUACAUCGCCUCCAUUGUUAUUUUUAUUUUUUCUUAUUGCUAUAUAUAUAUAUAUAUAUAUAUAUAUAUAUACAUGUAUAUAUAUAUUGAAAAAACACACAUACAUGUGUGUGUAUAUAUAUAUAUAUAUAUAUAUAUAUAUAUAUAUAUAUAUAUAUCGUGACGCAUAUUUGCCAUUUGAAUAUGGCUAAGCCCUAAGGGUGGAUGCUACUGUAGUUUGUAGCCCCAGGAAGAUAUCUCCUCCAGCUGGCUAUAGACACACUAUCUGUGUCCUCUCAGUAUUUGUGAAGGGGAGUCAUCCUCCCCGUCUUCAACUCAUGAUACACAUGGACCCGAGUUUCAAGGUGUUUACCUUUCAUCAGCGUGUGACAAUCAUGGUUGUCGACGAGAAGUCAGCUCCCUUCACAAAUACAUAUACUUUUUCCAGUGUCGAUUGGGCAGUAAGGCACCUAUUCACCUUCAAUUAACAUAAACUUAUCAAUUUUAAAAUGAAAGUAUACUUUUCUUAUGCUUAAAUGAAUGAAAAAUGUAUGAGGAAUUUAGAGUCGUUAGCCGCAUUGAACAAAAACUAGUAGAAGAAAAAUUAUGGGGUGAAAUGCCACGAAAUUUGGUGUCAGUAAGAGAGUAAGGAAGUAACGCUUAGAAAUAAGAAUUAUGAAAAAUAUAUUGUUAAAAUGAACGUUUAAGUUCUAAGGCGGCGAGCUGGCAGAGACGUUAGCGCGCCGGGCCAAAUAUCUAGCAGUAUUUCCUCUAAGAUUGCAUUUUGAGUUCAAAUUCCACCGAGGUCGACUUAUCUAACAAAGACGUAUCAUUUCGUUAGAUUCCAAGAUCGACGAAGUGGUUGACAACAGACUGUACAAAAGUAAACAAGACAUUCAGCAGACUGCACAAAGAACCUGAAACAACAAGCAUCUAAGGAAAAGCACAAAAAUAUGCCUCUAUAGUGCAACUUAUUUCCAGUCCAAACGGUAUGCAAUCUUCGAAAACAUCAUCGUCGACAGAGAACAAAUUUCAGCAUGUACCAAGGUGGGCUUGUAGUUAUAAAGACGUAAAAGAGAUGGCAUUUUAAUUACCCCAAGCUGUAACAGUAAAUUGAGGUAAUUACUUUACCACGCUUUGUUAACAAUUACGGAUGAGAUACCGCAAACAAAACUUAUGAGUUAUAUUGAAAUAUUUUCAAAUUGUUUUCCUCCAAAUUUCAAAAUAUUCCGUUUGACACAUGAUGUAACUGGACCAUAUCGACCAACUUUAAAACAGUAUAAACCAAAAUAAUGUGGUAAGAAGUAUAAUUUGAGAGAUAUUCAGGACGAGGGUUCAAUACUAUUUUUGAUUUACCUAACGACAUUGACAACUGUUAAGCUUCGCAUUACUCUUGUACCUUUGUAAAAUAUUCAUGUACAUGUGUGUGUGUGUGUGUGUGUGUGUGUGUGUGUGUGUGUGUGUGUGUGUCGAAGUGUACAGUAUUAUAUAUCUAUUACGGCCGAUCUUACCAAUAGGUUUCGUACUAGAGGUUCAACGGAGUGUUAGGUAACCGUCCGAUUAUGUAACCCUACACUCAUCAGAGGUAGCCAUUAUGGAAUGAAUUAUGGCGACUACUCUCAAUUGUUGGACCUACCAAGACAUCAUCACUGGGGGUGGUUUUGUUGCAAGAGUUUUCUGGAAAUGUGUUUGUGGGAAUUGUGUGUGUCUAUAAGGUAGGUGUUCUUGUGGAAAUGGAUUAUAUGUAGUAGUACUGUAUGUAUAGCCUUUGCAGGUGAGGUGGGGGAAUACACAUCUGUGUUUGUUAGUGUAUUUCCUUUCUUUUAUGCAUUGUUGGAAUUUCUGGGGCAUUUAUGUGUGCAUGCGGUGUGUAGGGGUACAAUAUUCAUGGAAGCUUAUAUUGUGACUGGAGAAUGAAAAAAAGUUUAUUGGGUAGGUGUCUGCCAUGCCAGUGUGUGUGUGUUUGUUUGUGGGUGCCUUAGUGUAUAUUCUGGGCAAACACUUUGCCGGAAACCUAGGUAUAUUGAAAGAAGGCCGAAGUUGGGGGGGGCUGGUGAUUAUAGUUAUAAUGGGGCAUGCAAGUAUGAUGGAUGUAUUUCCUUUCCUGUGGGCAAGAAUUAAAAUUUUCACUUCUGCUUUUCAGAUAAAUGAUUGGGUGCUGGAUGCUGCGUGCCCUUUAAAAUCUCUCUUUCCUCAGCCAGGCAUAAUCUGCGCUUCCUGCUGCUGUUGAAGUACGCUUCACAUUUCUCUAGAAUCUUCUACUUUAUGCUGUAUUCAGUGGCGCUUUCUUUCAACAUAUAUAUAUAUAUAUAUAUAUAUAUAUAUAUAUAUAUAUAUAUAUAUAUACGUACAUGCAUACAAACAUAUACAUAUGUAUAUACAUAUAUACAUUCGUGUGUGUGUGUGUGUGUGUGUGUGUAUGCAUACAUUUAUCUACAUAUAUGCAUUCAUACAUAUAUAUAUAUAUAUUCGUGCACACACACAUACACACACUUGCAAGCACAAAUAUAUAUACAGAUGCGUGUGUGUAUAAAAAAUAAUUACACUUACAGUAAUGACUGUAGACCAAAUUCUGCUAAAGAAAACUCAUCUAAUUUUGUACGAUGGAUUUUUUUUUUCAUUUAUUUAUUUUUAUAAAUGUCCACUCUACAUUAACUUAGAAAGCUUUAUAUGUACUGAAACGGUUAAAUGUAUAAUGUACUAAAAUGGCCAUAUCCGACUACUAGCGCCUAGUUUUUCAGUUCAAGUUGUAUAUUUUGACAUUUAACUUAAUUCUACACUGUCUCAUUUUACAGAGCUAAUAGAUACAACAUCGCUUCAGAAUUGGGAAUGUUAUCUGAAAUACAAUGGCACAAGUAUCCAGGGGGUGUAAUAGUUAUCUCAUUCACUUAACGCUUUAGAUCCGGGGUUAUAUAUAUUGUUCCUUUAAAGCUAUUCAAAUCUAUAAAACCAUUCACGUUUUUUACCCUCUUUACAUGAAAAGCAGGAUUUAACCAUAUUUAGACGAACGACAGGCUGAAGCUCUGGAUAAGACAACGAGAAAAUUAUGUCCAAUUUGCGCAAACAGAAAGCUACUGAAAAUAUAUAUUUAUGAAUGGAAUAAAAAAUUUCAUUGUCUUUUUUUAAUUUUAGUAACAGUUUUAUUUUUUCACACUGCCUAGUUUUUUAACACUGCAUAAUCUCCUGUUUACGUAUUUCUGAAGUUCAAGAAAAUGACGUUUUAUACUGAUAAAAUACCACCAAAUUUAAACUUUAACAUCCAACUCCAAGUUUCUCUCAGCAUUCAUUAAUUAUUCCUAAUGUGAUUAUUUUUAGUCCGUAUUUUGGUAAAACAUAACACUUCCCUUGCUAAUAUUUUAGAAUUUCUCAGAAUUCUAUAAAGGACGGUAAUAUUAUCAAUUAAUGCUUUUCUGUCGAGCUUUGUUUCGUGUUGUGUAUUGUAAUGUAUUACAGUGGCUUCUGAUAUUUGAGUGAUCAACCAGUGAGAAAAUGUUGUACUUGCGAGUCAUAUACGACAAUUUGUGUUCUUGUCUACAUGUCCACAUAGCUUUCAUGUCUACGUCGAUCUUAUUCAUUACAUCGGUCAUCUGAUGCACGUUUUGUCACUUACAAGUUUAUGGUUUCAUGUUCAUCAUGAGGGUUUUAAUCUUGAUGUUUCAUAAAUAAUUUAUGUUAAUUUGCGGUUAGAUGUGAUACAUAUUACGUUCCGUUAUUUUCUUUUUCUUUUUCUUUUGCUUUCUUUAGCGUUCUAAUCUUUUAAUAACGUAAAUAGCCAUGCAUACAUACAGACACACACACACACAUUGAUAGACAGAUACACAAAUAUUCAUAAAUAUAUGAACAUGUAUGUAUAUAUAUGUGUGUAUAUAUAUAUAUAUAUAUAUAUAUAUAUAUAUAGAGAGAGAGAGAGAGAGAGAGAGAUGACAGAAGUAAAUAAAUAGAUACCCCAUAAAACAUCGAAAACAUCGUUUUAUGCUUAUUCUAACUUGUAAAGGUUUAUAUUCUUUAUUGAUUGACAUUUUUAUGAUUCAAGUUCUAUGUGUGACUGUUUAAUCAUACCAUAUACAAAAGAAGCCUUGGAACUGUCUGAAUUGCAAAGAGGCCAUAUUGUGGGUCAUUCUGAAGGUGAACAUAGUGUAAAAUCGCAGAAGACCUUGGGAUACCGCUUUCUACAGUUAACAGAGUGAUUGUGCAAUUCGCUAGACUGGAGAAGGAGUCCACAUCACCUAGCCCAGAUCAACCACGGUCCACUGACAGGACCCUUCUCUUUGCUAAGAGAAGUGUAGAGGAUAAUCCCCGUUACAAGGCCUCUGACAUAGCCGAACAAGUUGAUGUAGUCUCAGAACAGCUGUCAGGUAUCUCCACAAACUUAGUUACUAUAGCUGAGCAGCAUGAAGGAAGCCACUUCUUCGACCAGCCAACAUCAAACGGAGAAAAGAUCAGGCCAGUGAGAUAGUGGAGAGGCCACUAGCAGUUUGGGACACUGUCAUAUUCUCUGAUAAGUUCAGAUUUGCUGUAUUUCCUGACAGUGGUUGAGUGUGGAUCUGGAGACUCUGUGAUCAAGAAUUUGAUGUGAAAAAAUUGCAGCCAACAAUGAAACACGAAAGCUAUUCUAUGAUGGUCUGGGGAACAACUGGGAGCAAUGGUUGAUCAGAGCUGGUGGAGUGUGAGGAAAACAUAAACCCUGAUAAAUAUGUGGCUGCAUUGCAGAAAGGACUCCUAACCUUCUCCAGUGGUGAAAUGAUUAAAGAAAACUAUUUAUGGAAGAUGAGGUUCCUUGUCACACGGCUAAAAUGACCCGAGAUUUGUCAGAUGAGAAUGGCAUUAAAAAGCUGCCAUGGCCAAGCCAGUCACCAGAUAUUAACCCUAUUGAACAGCUCUGGAACAUAAUGGACAAGGCACUUCAUUAAAAGAACAAGAAAGCAUCUUCAAAGUCAGAUCUUUGGAGGUUACUGCAUGAAACUUGGCAAGAAAUUCUGCAAGAGAAUAUUUGUCAUCUGAUCAGUAACAUGCCUAAUAGGGUACUUGCAUUGAAAAAUGCAAUGGGCAUGUCUACUAAAUAUUAAAUAUUUAUAUUAUAACAAUUAAUAAAUAAUUUGAAUGUAUAAUUUCAGAUUUAAACAAAUCUUAAUGAUUUUAAGGGUAUUUAUUCACUUCUCUCGUGUGUUUGUAUAUACACGCAUACAUACAAAUAUAUAUAUAAUAUUUGUAAACAAACCCUAAAGCAUUGUAAGUUAUGAAAAUAGAGCGACUAUUGAUGGGUGAGAGUUAGGUCCAAUCGGAUGCGCAUGGAGCUGUGUUAGCGUUGAUAUGUGGGUUCGAUUCUGGCCUGAGUUAGCUCAUCAUUUUCAGUCAUUUGUUUAUAUAACAAAUGUCGCUUUAAAUCGGAGUAUAUAUAUUAUCAUUUUGAGAUAUUAUUACAUAGUUAUUAUUGUACAAAGAGAAUUCCAUGGUUGCUCUUUCUCCGUAACUUACAAAGCCUUCGGGUUUCUUUACAAAUAUAUGUAGUAUUAGACAGUUAAAUUACAUAUUCAUAAAAUUUGGUUGAAAUUGAUGGGUGAGCGUUUGACCCAGUCGGAUGCGUAUGGAGCCGUGUUAGCGUUGAUAUGUGGAUUCGAUUCUGGCCUGGGUUAGCUCAUCAUUUUUCAGUCAAUUGUUUAUUUUUUUAAAUGUCGCUUUAAAUCGGAGUAUAUAUACUAUCAUUAUUAUAAUGUAUGUAUGUGUGUAUACAGGAUGCGAUUGGUAUAUUGUCAUUUUAUUUUUUAAUUUCGCGCAUGCACAAUGUUUGUUUUUGAUUUUGUCGACUAAACAGUAUAGUAGGGUAAGUUGGGCAUCAUAUAUGAGAAAAACAGCACCAUGACGCAUUUCAUUCUGCCAAAAAUUUGGAAACGACAUGCUGUACUGCAUGGCAUUUGCACUGGAAGCUCCAAUACGUACAGACGGUGAGCACGCAGAACAACCGUUAGCUUGCCGUGUCUACAAAACAUGUAUCGAGAGUGAUAAAAAUCAAACAUCCAGUCAACGAUAUGGUGUUUGGAGUGAUCACUAGUGAUGGCGACGUUAUGCCUUCAUACAUCUUCCCACACGGCCUCAAACUCAACACGGAGGCCUACAUCAAGUGUGUGGAGGAGGUAGUGCUUCUCUAGGUCAAGAGGGUGGCUGCUGGGAGACCCUAUGUCUAGGAACAGGACUCUGCACCAUGUCACACAAAGAGGAGAACCCAGUCAUAGCUGCCAGACAAUUACUGCGACUACAUCACCUCUAACAUCUGGCCACCUAACUCCCCAGACUGCAACCCACUUGAUUAUUAUAUGUGGGGCACAGUUGAGUGAGAGACCAACAAAAAAAACUUCUUGUAACAUCAAAGAUGAACUGAAGUCAAGGAUUAUGACAACAUUCACCAACUUAAACAAGGAGACCGGCGAUUUUAUUGAAUAAAUUUGCUAUUUAGUAUUUCAAGAUAUUUAAUGUAAUUUUCAUAAAUAUAUCUGUUUCAUUUUUGCGUAAUUUAGACGGCAAUAUAUUCACGGCACCUUUUAUAUAUAUAUAUAUAUAUAUAUAUAUAUAUAUAUAUGCGUGUUCAUGUGUCUAUCUGUCUGUUUUAUGUGUGUAUAUAUAUAUAUAUAUAUAUAUAUAUAUAUACAUAUAUACAUACAUGCGUACAUACAUACAUACAUACAUACAUACAUACAUACAUACAUACAUACAUACAUACAUACAUACAUACAUACAUACAUACAUACAUACAUACAUACAUACAUACAUACAUACAUAUACACAUACAUACAUGUGUGUGGAUGCAAAGAGAUAGAGAGAGAAUGAGAGAGAGAGGAGCCAGCCUACGAGGUGGUAGUUCGAUCUACAAGAAAUAGCACCCAAAUCUCUCUGAAAUUAGACCCUACUGUUGAAUGUUUUGGGGAUGUUGUUGUUGUUGUUGUUGUUGUUGUUGUUGUUGUUGCUGUUGCUGCUGCUGCUGCUGCUGCUGCUGCUGCUGCUGCUGCUGUUGUUGUUGUUGUUGCCAUCAAGGACUCAUGGGAUUCAGAAAUGAGAGUGAGCGUGACAAAUAAAGUGUUCAGUGUCACGUUGGUUACACAGAACGCACGCUUGCAUACACACACGUGCAUACGCAAGCAUUCACCAAAAAAAACUACGCAUUUAUGUUCGCCUACGUAAACGGACACACAUAUCUGAUAUCGCAUCCGAACAUAGCACCUCAUCCCCAUCUUAUUGACAUGAAGUCGUUUACCAAUACACUCAUACAGUGGAUCUUUUGUUGCUCUGCAGGAAUGACUGAUCUCCACGGUAGGAUGUGAUUUGAGAAAGAUUUGACUGGUACCAUUCCACUUGCGUCUCCUCUUCUCGUCACUCAUACUAUACCCACGGCUAAGGCGGCGAGCUGGCAGUGUCGUUAGCACGCCGGGCAAAAUGCUUAGCGGCAUUUCGUCCGUCCUUACGUUAUGAGUUGAAAUUCCGCUGAGCUCUACUUUGUCUUUCAUCCUUUCGGGAUCGAUAAAAUAAGUACCAGUUGAAUACUGGGAUUGAUGUAAUCGAUUUAUCCCCUCCCACGAAUAUGCAGACCUUGUGCCAGACUUUGAAAUCACAUUAUACCCAAGGGUCAAACAUCGUACAUACCACCCACUGAGCCAAGUCCUUCCUCUUCAGAAGAUCAGCCGUAUGGAAUUCACUCCAAACACAUUUCUUUCCUAUAGUUGUUGUCUAGCGACUUCUUACGGAGGUAUGUUAAUCGCUUCCAUCUGACUUGCAAUUAAAGCUUUAUUCCAUGGCAACGCCCAAUAAUUAAACUAAGUUAUUGGCUGUUAAAAGUUAACUUGGAUUUAGUUAUUCAGAAAAAAUAAUCCGGCGAUGAUCUUUUUGUUAGGAAAAAUGUCAUUCCAAUAAAUAACGCCAUUAUCAUGCAGGGGAGUUUGUACGUUAGUGGAUUCUAAUCUUUUAUAAUUCACUGUCCGUUUUUACAGAAUGGUAUUUUAUAAUUGCUUCCUUCCGGUUGGCCAAGUUCGUAAAAUUUGCCCAAUGAUUCUUUCUUCAGACAUCCUAACUACAUGCCCCUUCUUCCCAUAUGUUGAAUUCACGUACAAAUGGCACUAACUAUUUGUUGAGUCAGUAUGGAUUCUAUUGUCUACAUGAUGUGUGUUUAGCUAGCAUACAUACAUAUAAACAUACAUACAUACAUACAUGCAUACAUACAUACAUACAUACAUACAUACAUACAUACAUACAUACAUACAUGCAUACAAACAUACAUACAUACAUACAUACAUGCAUUCAUGCAUGCAUGCAUGCAUUCAUACAUACAUACAUACAUACAUACAUACAUACAUACAUACAUACAUACAUACAUACAGGGUGCGGUGAAUAAAUUGUCGUCUAAAUUACGUAAAAAAUUAAACUAACACUGAUACCUCAUUUUAACAGCUAUAUUUCCAGAAAAUACUUUAAAAUAUCUUGAAAUAAUAACUCGUAAAUUUUUUCAAUAAAAUUAUCAUUCUCUUCAACCAUGACCUCCAGACGACUUUGGAAUCUCCUGCAACGCUUCUGGGCGGUCUCUUUGUUUGGUGAAUGCUGCCAUAAUCCUUGCCUUCAGUUCGUCUUUGGUGUUACAAGGAGUUUUGUUGGUCUUUCACUCAACUGUGCCCUACACAUAAUAAUCAAGGGGAUUGCAGUCUGGGAAGUUAGGUGGCCAGAUGUUAGGGGUGAUGUGGUCGCAGAAAUCCUCUGGCAGCCAUGACUGGGUUCUCCUGCUUGUGUGGCAAGGUGCAGAGUCCUGUUGUCAGAUGUAGGGUUUUCCAACAGCCACCCUAUUGACCUAGAGAAGCACUACCUCCUCCACACACUUGAUGUAGGCCUCCGUGUUGAGUUUGAGGCCGUGUGGGAAGAUGUAUGAAGGCAUAACGUCGCCAUCACUAGUGAUCACUCCAAACACCAUAUCUGGAUGUUUGAUUUUUAUCACUAUCUUUCGAUAUAUGUUUUGAGGACACGGCAAGCUAACGGUUGUUCUGUGUACUCACCAUCUGUUCAUAUUGGAGCUUCCAGCACGAAUGCUAAGCAGUACAGCAUAUCGUUUCCAAAUUUUUGGCAAAAUGAAAUGCGUCAUGGUGCUGUUUUUUCUCACAGACGAUGCCCAACUUACCCUACUAUACUGUGUAGACGAGAAAAUCAAAAACAAACAAUAUGCAAAAGUUAAAAUAGAAAAUGGUAACAGUUUAACAAUCGCACCCUGAAUAUGUAUAUGUGUUUUUAUAUAUACAUAUACAUAUAUAUAUCCUUCUUUCCUGAGCGUCCAAUAAUACUAUAUUUGUUCCACGUCCUCGCGUUGUUGUGUUUUUUUGUGCUUUCUUGUUUGAAUUAACUUUACAUAUAUAUAUAUACAUACAUAUACAUAUAUAUAUGUGUGUGUGUAAUGGAGAAUUUAUACAAAGUGUAUAAAUAAAUGAUGAGUAAAACACCGGCACAGUAUCUAUUACCUGUUGUUAUCCGUAGAUUUAUUGCGGAACUUCGUAGUGGCGGUUGUGGUAACAGUAUUAAUAAAAUAAAUGGAAUGAGUAAAAUAUGUUAUUAGAUACGACACAUAUUUCGACCCGUUCUGGGUCUCUUCGGGUACAUCAAUAUAAAAAAAUAUAUAUCUUACUAAAGAUUUUCUGAUUCGGGUUUACGUACCGCUAUAUGUCCAUCAACUUCGAGAAUGAGUGAAAAACAGUGAAGAAUUGAAACGCAAAAAAUUCAAAUAUGAGCGUGAAAAUUAUACAUUCUAGUCUAUACAUUGGAAUUAUACAUUCUAGUUUAGAGAAAAUGACGUAAUGAACCUUCGCUGUUGUAACUGUUACGAUAAAGAAAAGGAUGCAGAAGUUGAAAGGAAGAUAAUACUUAGAAGAAAUUUUUUUGUGUUCGUGCUUAGACGCACGUAUACAUACACGGAUACAUAUAUAUAUAUAUAUAUAUAUAUAUAUAUAUAUAUAUAUAUAUAUAUAUAUAUGCAUAUAUAUAUAAGCGCUCACACACGCACAUCGAAGUAUAUGGGUAUAUACAUACAACUAGGUACGCGCGCAUACGCACACGUUUUGGACAAAUAAAUACAUGUAUAUAGGAACUCAUAUAUGCAGGUACACACGUGUAUAUAUACAUAAAUAUACGUACAUAGCAUAGGUAAAUAUGUGCAUAUAUUCGUACAAGCUACAGACGUCUGUGCAAAGUUUGACACGCACACACAUUCACAUAUACACAUAAGUAAAUAUUUACACGAAUAUACAUACAUAUACACAUACACAUACACACAUAUACAAAUACGUAUGCAUAUACACAUAUAAACAUACGCCCACGUACACGUAUACACAAAUUCACACUAAUGUAUACAUACACCUACAAAAAACGCAAAUGCGCACAGAUGGAUAUGUAAACAUAUUUAUAUAUAUAUAUAUAUAUAUAUAUAUAUAUAUAUACAUACACAAACACACAUACACACACAGACGUAUACAUAUAUAUACACAUAUAUGUACAUAUAUAUAUACAUGCAUACAUGCAUACAUACACACAUACAUACAUACAUAUAUACAUACAUACAUACAUACAUACAUGCAUACAUACAUACAUACAUACAUACAUACAUACAUACAUACAUACAUACAUACAUACAUACAUACAUAUAUGGAUCUAGAUUGCAAGAUCAUAUGUCAAAUACAAGUUAUUCAAAUAUGGUUCCUCAAGUUCAUGUGUAUUAAGAGUUGUGGGCGCCAUGUAUAUAUCAAGUUAUGCAUGGGCAUGGAUUGUAAUAUGUGAAUGUGUUUAGCUGCGUGUAGGCAUCUGGGUAAUUGUUCAGUGAAUUUAUUUAUAAUGCGCUCCUUUGUUAACAUUAUGGAGAGUGACUCCUCGGAGCAUAAUCGGCAUUUGCGGGAUAUAGUGUUGUAGGGACUCGCGUGUCUAAGUAUGGACCAUGUAAGGUCGUAUUUUGUCUUUGCUUCUUUAAGCCUCCAGAUAAAAUCGGCUAGUGAUGUUACAUGUCGUUUAAGGAUAUUUCGAAAGCUGGUGAUGUGGUUGCGGUAUCGAUUUUUGAAAAAUCGGCUGAUACUCCGAUAUAUACGUAGUGGCCUCCUCUAGUGUUUAUAGUGCACUUGUAUACCACAUUCUUAGUCAUACAUUGGUUAUCCAAAGGGCAACUGGAUCUAUCUGCAUGAGCAUAGCUAUUUGAUUUUGCUGGCUUGUGUACAUCGAGCGCUGGGGGGUUUGGUUCUGUACUACAUUUUGGUUGUCAAUAUUAUCGUUUUAUUAUCAUUAGGUGUUCUCAGUUUAUAAUUUGAAUUGUUGCUGGUGUUGUUUUUUUGGAUGGUUAUCACGGAUAUUGUAAUCAUUGCUCUGUUGGUUGGUAGUAUAAUUCGAGUUAUAACCGUUGUCUUUAGGUUGGUCAUAUGAGUUAUGGUUGAUUAUGAGUAUAUGCAUACAUAUUUGUAUACGUGUGUGUAUGUGUAAGUGUAUAUGUAUGUAUAUCCGUGUAUAUGUUUACUUAUGUGUAUACGUGAGAGUAGUAACUAGUGUGUGCGCGUGUGUAAUUUUCAUGGUCAUAUUUGAAUUUUUCGCGUUUCAAUAUUUUUACUCAUUCUUGAAUUUGAUGGACAUAUAGCGGUACGUAAAACCGAAUCAGAAAAUCUUUAGUAAGAUUUUUUUUUCUUAUUGAUGCAAACGAAGAGACCCAGAAACGGGUCGAAAGAUGUGUCGUACCUAAUAGAAUAUUUUACUCAUUCCAUCUAUUUUAUUAAUACUAUAUUUAUAUAUAUAUAUAUAUAUAUAUAUAUAUAUAUAUAUAUAUAAUUAAGUGAGAAAGUGAGAGAUUUAACGAAUAUAAAUUAAUUUAUUUACAUUUUUAAUAAGGCCUACAAUUGCUUCAAUUCACACUCAAUACAAAUUACAAACCUAUAGAAUAAAAUAAGUUUGCAUUUUGAAUAUCUACAGCAAAAUAUCUUCAGGGCCAAUGGACAUUAAGGAAACUAUAUGUUGCUCAAUUGAAAUCCUCCAGCAGACUAAGUAGAUGAAAAUAUGUUUAAUUUUAUAUGUGCAUAUGCUCACUCAUACUCGCGUGAAACACAUGCAUAUACACCCACAUAUAUAUGCAACCAUACACAUGUACAUAUACAUGUACAUAUAUACAUACCCGCGCGCACACACACACACACGCACAAAAAGUUCAUAUACACGUCUAUACACAAUUUGUCAUUCUAAUAGCUCUUUUGUCUUAAUAACAGUCACUUACACAGUAAUCUCCCUUUGUUUAACGGUCAUUUUCAUACCAUUUUUUUUAUUUCCUCGAUAACUGACGAGAUGCAGGAGCGGAUUUCCGCCCCGACAUCCGAAACUCGGAGUUUUAUUAUGGCAACCGAAUAAUUGUCACAUAUUAUAUUACAGAUGUAUACAUUCAUAUGUGUGUGUGUGUGUGUGUGUGUGUGUGUGUGGGUGGGUGGGUGUGUGUGUGUGUGUGUGUAACGGUGGAAAUUGGUUAGUUGUAACGGGAGAAAUUGGUUAGUAAACAUUAUGAGGAGGAUGUCGGUGUCAGCAGUUGAAAUGAUCAUAAUUUUUUUUUUGUUAUUAUAAUCGCAUACUGUAGGAUAAGGAAAUAUUUAUUUUCCGUUACGUUACAAAUACCUUGCCUCGACAGGCAGGUUAUGUUCAAUCCAAAAGCAUGCGAAAGAAAUUUAGAUGCGGUAGAAUAUUUCUUUACAUAGUUCGGCGUAUACGAAUAGUUAGUAAUCCACAUAUAGCGAUAGAAUGUUGUUGUAGGAGAACAGAAUUAGAGCUAGAGAAAAUUGUAGUGUAUUGUCUUAAGUUGCUGACAGUAAACUUCAUUUCUCCCUGUGACCCAGGUUCUAGCUGGUCAGCCAGACGACGUUCUUACUGAGUUGUCACCGGAUGGUAACUAACUGAUUUUUACUUGGAGGUGUGCUUGCUUAUAUAAAGACCCAGAAGAAUAGAUAUAUCAUUGAGAACAAUAGAUUUAGUUGGUGGUCUUGUUAUCUCUAUUCUAGCUUUUGGUGAAGUAGAAGAGGUUAGAAAGGGUCAAGUGGUGAAGACAUUAUUUUGGCCUGGCUAAAGGCAUCUGGAAAAUGUAAAACUGCUGUCAGAGAAAAGCUAUUGUUCCAUCGUGGGAAAAGUUCUGUUGCAGUGUUAAUUUAAAUUUGGCUAUAGUGGAUCGAAUCCACUUCAUGCGUCAAGAUUCAUAUAUAUAUAUAUAUAUAUAUAUAGAGAGAGAGAGAGAGAGAGAGAGAGAGAGAGAGAGAGAGAGAGAGAGAGAGAGAGAGAGAGAGAUCAUUAUCAUAUUAUCAUCGUCAUAACUACCAUCUGGUCGACUUUGCUCUGACAUUUCUAACCUUCAUAGACCAUCGAUCUUGGUCCAACGUUAGUUGAGGGAGGUCUUCGGGGAAGCAUCCUGUGUCUCCAGCGAGUUGAUCUACAUACGUUGUAUUCGGAUGACCAGCUUGAAUACCGCCAUGCUUUAGCGGGUCAUUUGCCAACUCUUGUUUAGUUCGCCAGCAAUGUCCGGCAAAGCGCAGGCGCUUUUCCCUCAUAAUGCUGGAAACAAGCAGGAGAUCUCCAUAUAACCACAAAAACGUACAUUUACACACUUGCAAAGAAAGGGAGAAAGAGAGAUAUAGAGACAGACAAAGAGGGGUGGUACGCAACUAUCGACAAAUUAGAUAAACGAGCCAAGCACGAAAACUCUAUUGUGUGUUCUCUCGACCUUUUAGAAAUAGUAGCUAAAUCUCCCUCAAAUCGCACACUCUUUGUUCUCUCUUUUACUCUUUUACUUGUUUCAGUUAUUUGACUGUGGCCAUGCUGGAGCACCGCCUUUAGUCGAGCAAAUCGAUCCCAGGACUUAUUCUUUGUAAGCCUAGUACUUGUUAUAUCGGUCGUUUUUGCCGAACCGCUAAGUUACGGGGACGUAAACACACCAGCAUCGGUUGUCAAGCGAUGUUGGGGGUACAAACACAGACACACAAACAUGUACACACACACAUACAUAUAUAUAUAUAUGCAUAUAUACGACGGGCUUCUUUCAGUUUCCGUCUACCAAAUCCACUCACAAGGCUUUGGUCGGCCCGAAACUAUAGUAGAAGUGGCCCAAGGUGCCACUCAGUGGGACUGAACCCGGAACCACGUGGUUCGUAAGCAAACUACUUACCACACACCCACUCCUACUUAGCUAAUAAAAAUAAUUCGGAUAAUGUUAAAUCCUGAUGGCACUGAACAUGAGGAAAAAGAAGAGAUGGUCGCGGCUGGAAUGCCUUUAAUGAUAAGUUUGACCUAGCUCUAAACAUCAUCAGUAAAAGUAGAAAGGGCGGGAGAAAAGAGGCAUGAGAGACAAACAGACAGAGACAGAUGGACAGACAAAGGGGAGAGGAAGAGGAAGAGAUGUUAAGUAAUAAAUCACUGUAACGGUGUGUAACGUAAACACAAAACUGGCUCAUUACGAGUUGAAUGACUAAACUUCGUAGCAUCUACACCCGUUUUAGCCAAUGAUUCAUAGGAUCCGGGCAGUACUUUUGUUUAACAAAUCUGAAAUACGCGAGAGAGUGUGCGUGCGUGCGUGCGUGUGUGCGUGCGUGCGUGCGUGCGUGCGUGUGUGUGUGUGUGUGUGUUUGUGUGUGUGUGUGUGUGCGCGUGUGUCUGUGACAAGCACGCUUAUGUACAUCUGUUCCAGACAACUCUGAUAUAUGUACAUACACGUAGCCCUGUGCUAAUUAGAUAUGUACUUAAGGCGGCGAGCUGACAGAAUUGCUGUCAUGCCGGAUAAAACGUUUAGAGGCAUUUCGUCCGUCUUUACAUUCUGAAUUCAAAUUCCGUUGAGAUCGACUUUGCAUUUCGUCCUUUUGCAAUCGAUGAAAUAAAUAUCUGUUGUGUACGGAGAUCGAUGUAGUCUACUAGCCUCCUACACCAAGAAUUCAGACUUUGAGCCUAUAAAUGCCUAUAGCAGAAAAGAAUUCUGUGUGUCUAUUGUAUAUAUUUAUACAAACGGCGGUGCAUCAGCAUGGCCGCAGCUCUGAGCUGAAACUAGAGGGGAAUAAAAAAAAAAUAUAUAUAUAUAUAUAUAUAUAGUUGUUAUAUAGUAGAUAUACACAUACACAUUAUACACACACAUAUAUAUUCAUGUGCGCGCACACGCACACACACUCACACACACACACACACAGAGGCAGGCAGAUAGAUAGAUAGAUAUUUUCCUCUCAGAAUUUCUGAUUUAUAAAUAUAUAAAUAUAAAUAUAUAAAUAUGCUUGAGAGUGCCUAUAUAAAUAAACAUAUACACACCCAUUCUCAUAUAGACAUGAGUCGGUUGUACGCGCUAAAGUGUAUGUGCGUGAGUGCGUAUGUCUGUAUGUGUGAGAGCAUGUGUGUGUGAGUGCGUAUGUCUGUAUGUGUGAGUGCGUGUGUCUGUGUGUGUACACAAUUUGUCAAUCUAAUCUGUUCUGUACAAACUUAUUCACCGAGAUUUUUCUCUCGUGUACUUUUACACCAAUUCUCUUCCCGUCUCCUCUUACCAUCCCUCUUCAUUUCGCCACUCCCAUUAUGUGUUCCUGUCUCCCCGUCCCACUUGUCUACUGAACAUAGAGCUACACAACUUGGUUUGCAGAAAGUGGAGCAGGAUGAUGUCAUUGAUGAAGCUCACGAAAUACAGAGCUUUAACGAGUGGGCUUUUGGGUUUUCAUAUCAGAGAUAAUGAUUCUUAAUUUUGGCACAUGGCCAGAAAUUUGUUUGGGAAAGGAUGUAGUCGUCAUUACUGGUACUUAAUUCAUCAACCCUACGCAUGUAUUCUAUCCCAACCAUUCAAUACAUAUUAGGUUGGCAACUAAGUUCCCGCCGUUGUUUUAAAUUUAAAUAUUGUUAAAGUUUUAAUUAAAAAUAACGACUAAUUAAUCAAUAAUGUAUUCACCCUUGUUGUUUACAACCUCUUCCCAACGUUUGACAAUAUUUUUCAGUACCUCGUUGGUAGAAAUCACCCGAUUUCGACUCGAAAAAUUGAUCCAACCAAGCUCUCAAUUCUGCAUCAGUACUGAAACGAAACUCCGCACAUAGCAUUUGAAAGAGAUCGAAAGAGGUGGCAGCACUUCCCAGCCAAGCGUUUGAAUGGCUUCCUUCGUCAUAUUGGCGAUAUGAGGGCGGCCGUUGUCGUGCAGAAGAACUCCAUGCUAACGAUUAGGUCUUUUCUCUUGAAUAGCCGUGUUGAGUGUUCCAUCUGUUGAACAUAGAGUUCCGCGUCGACCGUUUGAUUCCGUUCAAGCAAUUCGUAAUGGAUAAUCCCUUCCCAGUCCCACCAUACGCACAUCAACGUUUUAUGCGGAUGAAGAUCUUGUUUCACGCGCGGGGUCGCUUGUUUAACGGGGCUAAGCCAUUCCUUACGCUGCUCCAUAUUGAUGUACAGGCACCAUUUUUCGUCGCCAGUAGCGAUUCGGUAAAGAAAUCGUUAUUUGUGUCCAUGAGUUGAGCGGUGACUAGCAAGAAAACCCGCGGAGAUUGUGGCUCGUUGAUUUUUGCUGUUGUCACUUAAAGAAUGCGGAACCCAUGCUCCAUACUUCUGAAUCAUUCCCAUCGAGUGAAGAUGCUUCUCUAUAGCAGUGUAGGAGCAUUCCAUUUUCCCUGCCAGUUCCCUUGUCGUUUGACGAGACAUUUCAUGCAAAAGUUGGUUUAAUCGCUCUUCAUCGAACUCAACUGGACGGCCAGAACGAGAUGCAUCUUUGAGGUCAAAAUUACCAUUUUUUUAUUUGGCAUAGCAAUCACGAGCGGUUCUUUCAGCUAUGGCACACUCUCCAUACACAGCAUAAAUGUCGCGAGCAGCUUUUGCGGCCUUAGAACAUUGAUUAAAAGCAAAAAGAAGGUGUCAAAACUGCUCGAUUUUCUUAACUUGACAUUCUACUUUAAUGAUCUCUGUGCACGGAGCUCGGUGUAAUCUACUAGCCUCCAGCACCAAGAAUUUAGACUUUGUGCCUAUAAUACCUAUAAUGCCUAAUUCUGUGUGUGUGUGUGUGUGUGUGUGUGUGUGUGUGUGUAUGUGUGUGUGUGUAUGUGUGUGUAUAUAUUGUAUAUAUAUAUAUAUAUAUAUAUAUAUAUAUAUACUCCUUACUCUUUUACUUGUUUCAGUCAUUUCACUGUCGCCAUACUGGAGCACCGCCUUUAGUUGAGCAAAUCGACACCAGGAGUUAUUCUUUGUAAGCCUAGUACUUAUUCUAUCGGCCUCUUUUGCCGAACCGCUAAGUAAACACACCAGCAUCGGUUGUCAAGCGAUGUUGGGGGGGGGGUGACAUCAUAGACACGCGCACACACACACACACACACACACAGAGGCAGACAGACAGAUAGAUAUUAUCCUCUCAAAUUUUCUGAUUUAUAAAUAUAUAAAUAUAAAUAUGCGUGUGAGUGCCUAUAUAAAUGAACAUAUACACCCAUUCUCAUAUAUACAUGUGUCGGUUGUACGCGCUAAAGCGUGUGUGUGUGUGUGUGUGUGAGUACGUAUGUCUGUAUGUGUGUGUGUGUGUGUGUGUGUGUGUGUGUGUGUGUGUGUGUGUGUGUGUGUGUGUGUGUGUGUGUGCGUAUGUCUGCGUCUGUGUGUGUGUAUGUGCGUCUGUGUGUACACAAUUUGUCAAUCUGUUCUGUACAAACUUAUUCACCGAAAUUUUUCUCUUUUGUACUUUUACACCAAUUCUCUUCCCGUCUCCUCUUGCCAUUCCUCUUCAUUUCGCCACUCCCAUUAUGUGUUCCUGUCUCCUCGUCCCACUUGUCUACUGAACACAGAGCUACAACGUGGCUGGUAGAAACUGGAGUAGGAUGAUGUCACUGAUGAAGCUCACGGGAUACAGAGCUUUAACGAGUGAGCUUUUGGGUUUUCAUAUCAUAAAUAAUGAUUCUUAAUUUUGGCACAUGGCCAGAAAUUUGUUUGGGAAGGAUGUAGUCGUCAUUACUGGUACUUAAUUCGGAUCUUUUCGGUUUGAACGGCAGUUUUUUAAAAUAAUUUCCACGUAACUAAACACUUUUAAACUUCGUAUACUGGUAGAAUGUGUUUAUAAAACAUCUUUUUCUCUUGGCUUUAUUGAGAAAAUUCUAUAGUUUGUAAGAUAUUUGUUGCUGUUUUUCUUCAAUUUCUGCAAUUUCAACCAAUCAAUGACGUCUAUUGAGGUAAAAAUAUGCCGUAUGAAUAUGUCCCUCGUUUAAGAAACAGAUUGGGUUUAUUUACAUUUGUGAAGAAGAAAAGAUACCUUUCUCCUAACCCUAACCCUAACCCUAAAACAGAUUGAAAUGCAAUAGCUCGAUACUAGAGUCAUAAUUAUGGAUGACACUUUCAGAUGACACCGCUAAAAAAACUGCCGUUCAAACCGAAAAGAUCCCUUAAUUCAUCAACCCUACGUAUGUAUUCUACCCCCAACCAUUGAAUAUAUAUAUACACAUAACUUUUUGGUUUUAUGAAAUGCAGGCUCAAUCCAGGAGGUGUUUAAACUGAAAGCUUGUAACUAAACAACGGGAAACACAACCUUAAGAUAAUGUUACCUGAAAUGGUUUCCGGGGGAACCCAAGAGUUUCUCAUUACGAAAAGAAUAGUCUGGCCUUCCACAGAAAAUAAAUAUUUAUUAAAAACCUAAUAAAAAUUUAUUUUAUGAAACAAAUGCUUUUAAGCAUUUUCAAAGUAAUAAGAUCUGUGUUAAUUUUGGUAGACGGAAAUUAUGUGGACGCCUGCCAUGUGUGUGUGUGUGUGUGUGUGUGUGUGUGUGUGUGU
rnacentral:lncRNA from 1 species